rnacentral:rRNA from 1 species
GCAGUCGAGCGGAACGAGUUGUCUGAGCCUUCGGGGGACGAGUGCGGCGUCGAGCGGCGGACGGGUGAGUAAUGCCUGGGAAAUUGCCCUGAUGUGGGGGAUAACCAUUGGAAACGAUGGCUAAUACCGCAUGAUGCCUACGGGCCAGAGAGGGGGACCUUCGGGCCUCUCGCGUCAGGAUAUGCCUAGGUGGGAUUAGCUAGUUGGUGAGGUAACGGCUCACCAAGGCGACGAUCCCUAGCUGGUCUGAGAGGAUGAUCAGCCACACUGGAACUGACACACGGUCCAGACUCCUACGGGAGGCAGCAGUGGGGAAUAUUGCACAAUGGGGGAAACCCUGAUGCAGCCAUGCCGCGUGUGUGAAGAAGGCCUUCGGGUUGUAAAGCACUUUCAGUCGUGAGGAAGGGGGUGCUGUUAAUAGCUGCAUAUUUUGACGUUAGCGACAGAAGAAGCACCGGCUAACUCCGUGCCAGCAGCCGCGGUAAUACGGAGGGUGCGAGCGUUAAUCGGAAUUACUGGGCGUAAAGCGCAUGCAGGUGGUCUGUUAAGUCAGAUGUGAAAGCCCGGGGCUCAACCUCGGAACAUCAUUUUGAACUGGCAGACUAGAGUCUUGUAGAGGGGGGUAGAAUUUCAGGUGUA